UGUGCCACCGUUUGAAAAGUCAUAAAGUCUUCACUUCCACGCUUCCAUGCUUUCCCAAUACACUACUACCUCCAUCACCUCUAUCUACCCAACAACCCAAUAUACCGACGGAAACACACCCUACCCAUUGAUUUUGCCUAUUUCGCCACCACUCCUCUGUAAUUGAUUUCUUUGCAGAUAAGAAGCAUACCUAUUGUUUCACAUUGAUGCCCUAACCUCUGUUUGAAGACGACACAUGUAAACUUAGCUUUUCCAGUUGUUUCAUCAUGUGUACACCCACCGUUUCCUUAUAUUCUAAUACACACCUCGUUUCUCCAUUCCAUUGCUUUCAUGUUUUCCCAUUUCACUCUCCCUCACUAUCGAUGCGUUGGAUGUGCCUCUCUGCGUCUCUUUCUCUUUCGACGGAUUAGCACCAGAAAGAUCACAACAUCACGACGGUUAAUUUUGACGGUGAUUCAAGUUUCCACAAGAAACUCCAUGUCACGACAUCCUGCCCACCCGGUAUUUUCUUCUUCCCUAACGUCUUUUCUUCUUCCCUGACGCAUUUUCUUCUUCCAUGACUCUUUGCAAUGCUCCAAACCUAUAAGUUGUAUGAUCCGCAUCUAUUCAACUCCCGGUUCAUGUUUACAUUAAGGUUUUUUUUUGGGUUCUAACUUUGAGAUUUCUCCACCUUAAGUUUUCUUGAAGGAAGGUAUGUUACAUCUGUUCUUGCAUGUUUUCUAAAUUUUGGGUUUUCAUUCUUCUAUUUUUUGUUAUGUUAAUGUUGGGCAUUAUUGAUCUGUGAUGUGCAGCAAAUGUCUGGCGAAUAAAUUAUAGAUUGGUCAUGAUCCUAACAUGGAACUAGAAGAUGUCAGAGGGUAGAGGAGGUUUCAUAUGCGCCUUUCCUGGUGGUAGUAUAUGACAAGGCAAAGCAGAAAGUGGAAUUCUUUGAUCCCUCUCCACCUUAAGAUUUCCUCUUCAUCUCAGAUGUGAACUAUUUAUUCCUUUAAUAUUUACAUAUUGGAGUUAGUCAACAUUCUCAUGACUAACUGAUAUGCAGAUUUACAUACAUGAUAUAUGAUUGAUGACCUGAAGUCAUGGAUGAGCCGAAGUUGAUUCUUGAGAGUUUUGACAUUUGCUCUGACUUGAUUUUAUAAAAAGAAAAGUUAGCCAUAUGAGGUUAAUUAUGUUGCCUUUUCUACCCUUUAACCCCAUCGUGAUAUGUAGAUCAAACAAAGUACAUUAUCCAUACACAUUGUACAAUCCUAUUUUGUUUUUGGGUUAAAUGGAAAAAGGCCAAAAAAAUAGCAACUA